rnacentral:rRNA from 1 species
CCUACGGGUGGCAGCAGUGGGGGAUAUUGCACAAUGGGGGGAACCCUGAUGCAGCGACGCCGCGUGGGUGAAGGAGCGUUUCGGCGCGUAAAGCCCUAUCGGCAGGGAAGAAGGAGGACGGUACCUGACUAAGAAGCCCCGGCUAACUACGUGCCAGCAGCCGCGGUAAUACGUAGGGGGCAAGCGUUAUCCGGAUUUACUGGGUGUAAAGGGGGCGCAGACGGCAGCGCAAGCCAGGAGUGAAAGCCCGGGGCCCAACCCCGGGACUGCUCUUGGAACUGCGCGGCUGGAGUGCAGGAGGGGCAGGCGGAAUUCAUGGUGUAGCGGUGAAAUGCUUAGAUAUCAUGAAGAACUCCGAUCGCGAAGGCAAGUGUCCGGGGUGCAACUGACGCUGAGGCUCGAAAGUGCGGGUAUCAAACAGGAUUAGAUACCCCAGUAGUC